GACAAAGGGCUUAACCCCACUUUACCAGAACUCCUCAAGACCAUAAAAGGUCAUACCCAGGCCUGUUUAGAUGUUAUACCUCAGAGCCUUCCAACAUCAACAUCAGUAAAUCCUUCUGUUAAAAUUCAAACAGACUUAAAACAAAAGUUUCCAAACUUACCUGAAACAGAACUCUUAGUUAAAACUAUGGAUUAUAUGAAGACACAAUUCUUACAAUCCUUAGUCCCGGAUGAUGCCUCCAUGAAGACUAUUAACAGUGAUGAAGACUCUGAACAGGAUGACAAUCAAUUCAAUGUUUU
rnacentral:lncRNA from 1 species